rnacentral:rRNA from 1 species
UACGAAGGUCCCAAGCGUUAUCCGGAUUUAUUGGGUUUAAAGGGUGCGUAGGCGGAUUAUUAAGUCAGUGGUGAAAGCCUUCAGCUUAACUGAAGAAUUGCCAUUGAUACUGAUGAUCUUGAGUAUGAUUGAGGUUGGCGGAAUGUGUCAUGUAGCGGUGAAAUGCUUAGAUAUGACACAGAACACCGAUUGCGAAGGCAGCUAACUAAGCCAUAACUGACGCUGAUGCACGAAAGCGUGGGGAGCAAACAGG